rnacentral:antisense_RNA from 1 species
CUUCACCGAGCCCAGGUACAGCGGCUCGGCGCGGUCUGCGCCGUAGGUCGCGAGCAGCGCCUGGGCCUC